rnacentral:rRNA from 1 species
AGCAGCCGCGGUAAUUCCAGCUCCAAUAGCGUAUAUUAAAGUUGUUGCAGUUAAAAAGCUCGUAGUUGAAUUUUGGGGUCAGUAGAUUGGUUGUGCCACCGGUAUGAACUGGUCUUACUGGCUCCUCCUUCCUGAUGAACCGUAAUGCCAUUAAUUUGGUGUUGCGAGGAAACUGGACUGUUACUUUGAAAAAAUUAGAGUGUUUAAAGCAGGCUA